CAUUCAGCAAGUAUGCCAACGGUAGCUGAAUAAAUCAGAUGCUUACCAUAAUAAUAUGCUUGUGAACUGUGCAUUGCAUGCGACCAACCAAUCUAUCGUAUCAAUCGAAGGUGUUUUCUUGAAUUGCUAGGGACUAGGACCCACCGAGGAGUUCAAGUCAUAGUGGUUUCGUUACACUAAGUGGGAAGCAGGAACCAGAUCUCUGAAAGGUCUUAAUGC
rnacentral:lncRNA from 1 species